rnacentral:rRNA from 1 species
CAGCCGCCGCGGUAAUACGUAGGGCGCGAGCGUUAAUCGGAAUUACUGGGCGUAAAGCGUGCGCAGGCGGUUGUGUAAGACAGGUGUGAAAUCCCCGGGCUUAACCUGGGAACUGCGCUUGUGACUGCACAGCUAGAGUAUGGCAGAGGGGGGUGGAAUUCCACGUGUAGCAGUGAAAUGCGUAGAGAUGUGGAGGAACACCGAUGGCGAAGGCAGCCCCCUGGGCCAAUACUGACGCUCAUGCACGAAAGCGUGGGGAGCAAACAGGAUUAGAGACCCCAGUAGUCCCUGUCUCUUAUAC